AUGUUCCUAAAAACUUCCGCAGCGUCUGCUGAUCCGGUACUGCACACACUUCAUUUACCAUCAUUUCUUUUCACUCUACAACGAUUGAGUGCAAACUACACGAACAAUCCAACCGUGUUUCACAAACUAUCCGUUUUGUCUGAAUAGAAUUAUUAAAGACACACAAAAUGCUCCAUUUAAACCGUGAAAAUGCGAUCGUUAGUGCAACGCAAAAUGGCCUGUCUCCUCAUUUACUCAGCAUGAAAAAUGGCUGUGACUCGUCCGUCAGGGUUACGCUAUCACAACACUUGCAACACAGUUGACAUAGAUUUUUGUUGCCAAAACUUUCAUCACCUAAUGCACGACGUUCUGCAAACGAAAAGAAAAAAAAGAGUUGCAUCGAAAAAAGGGGGACGAUUUGAUUUUCUAGUGAGCAAAUGAAAUUCAGUUGAUGUCAAUGGCUGCUUGUUCACUUCAAAAAUAAUGCACACACUGAUGUCUAUUGAUUUUCCUACAAUCUGGCCUUCGUCGGUGGUUGUCGACGGCACUCCACGACAAACUAUUUGAAUUCCAUUUCUUUUAGAUCGCCUAAACGAUUGGGCACCGGUCAGAUUUCCAAUAGAUUUGUUGCAACCAAAAAUGACGUGGAAUAAACGAACAAGUAAAAAAUA